CACGUAGGGUGCGAGCGUUGUCCGGAAUUAUUGGGCGUAAAGAGCUCGUAGGCGGUGUGUCGCGUCGGCCGUGAAAACCUGCAGCUUAACUGUGGGCUUGCGGUCGAUACGGGCAUCACUGGAGUUCGGCAGGGGAGACUGGAAUUCCUGGUGUAGCGGUGGAAUGCGCAGAUAUCAGGAGGAACACCGGUGGCGAAGGCGGGUCUCUGGGCCGUAACUGACGCUGAGGAGCGAAAGCGUGGGGAGCAAACGGG
rnacentral:rRNA from 1 species